AGCGUACACGGUGGAUGCCCUGGCAGUCAGAGGCGAUGAAGGACGUGCUAAUCUGCGAUAAGCGUCGGUAAGGUGAUAUGAACCGUUAUAACCGGCGAUUUCCGAAUGGGGAAACCCAGUGUGUUUCGACACACUAUCAUUAACUGAAUCCAUAGGUUAAUGAGGCGAACCGGGGGAACUGAAACAUCUAAGUACCCCGAGGAAAAGAAAUCAACCGAGAUUCCCCCAGUAGCGGCGAGCGAACGGGGAGCAGCCCAGAGCCUGAAUCAGUGUGUGUGUUAGUGGAAGCGUCUGGAAAGGCGCGCGAUACAGGGUGACAGCCCCGUACACAAAAAUGCACAUGCUGUGAGCUCGAUGAGUAGGGCGGGACACGUGGUAUCCUGUCUGAAUAUGGGGGGACCAUCCUCCAAGGCUAAAUACUCCUGACUGACCGAUAGUGAACCAGUACCGUGAGGGAAAGGCGAAAAGAACCCCGGCGAGGGGAGUGAAAAAGAACCUGAAACCGUGUACGUACAAGCAGUGGGAGCACGCUUAGGCGUGUGACUGCGUACCUUUUGUAUAAUGGGUCAGCGACUUAUAUUCUGUAGCAAGGUUAACCGAAUAGGGGAGCCGAAGGGAAACCGAGUCUUAACUGGGCGUUAAGUUGCAGGGUAUAGACCCGAAACCCGGUGAUCUAGCCAUGGGCAGGUUGAAGGUUGGGUAACACUAACUGGAGGACCGAACCGACUAAUGUUGAAAAAUUAGCGGAUGACUUGUGGCUGGGGGUGAAAGGCCAAUCAAACCGGGAGAUAGCUGGUUCUCCCCGAAAGCUAUUUAGGUAGCGCCUCGUGAAUUCAUCUCCGGGGGUAGAGCACUGUUUCGGCAAGGGGGUCAUCCCGACUUACCAACCCGAUGCAAACUGCGAAUACCGGAGAAUGUUAUCACGGGAGACACACGGCGGGUGCUAACGUCCGUCGUGAAGAGGGAAACAACCCAGACCGCCAGCUAAGGUCCCAAAGUCAUGGUUAAGUGGGAAACGAUGUGGGAAGGCCCAGACAGCCAGGAUGUUGGCUUAGAAGCAGCCAUCAUUUAAAGAAAGCGUAAUAGCUCACUGGUCGAGUCGGCCUGCGCGGAAGAUGUAACGGGGCUAAACCAUGCACCGAAGCUGCGGCAGCGACGCUUAUGCGUUGUUGGGUAGGGGAGCGUUCUGUAAGCCUGUGAAGGUGUGCUGUGAGGCAUGCUGGAGGUAUCAGAAGUGCGAAUGCUGACAUAAGUAACGAUAAAGCGGGUGAAAAGCCCGCUCGCCGGAAGACCAAGGGUUCCUGUCCAACGUUAAUCGGGGCAGGGUGAGUCGACCCCUAAGGCGAGGCCGAAAGGCGUAGUCGAUGGGAAACAGGUUAAUAUUCCUGUACUUGGUGUUACUGCGAAGGGGGGACGGAGAAGGCUAUGUUGGCCGGGCGACGGUUGUCCCGGUUUAAGCGUGUAGGCUGGUUUUCCAGGCAAAUCCGGAAAAUCAAGGCUGAGGCGUGAUGACGAGGCACUACGGUGCUGAAGCAACAAAUGCCCUGCUUCCAGGAAAAGCCUCUAAGCAUCAGGUAACAUCAAAUCGUACCCCAAACCGACACAGGUGGUCAGGUAGAGAAUACCAAGGCGCUUGAGAGAACUCGGGUGAAGGAACUAGGCAAAAUGGUGCCGUAACUUCGGGAGAAGGCACGCUGAUAUGUAGGUGAAGUCCCUUGCGGAUGGAGCUGAAAUCAGUCGAAGAUACCAGCUGGCUGCAACUGUUUAUUAAAAACACAGCACUGUGCAAACACGAAAGUGGACGUAUACGGUGUGACGCCUGCCCGGUGCCGGAAGGUUAAUUGAUGGGGUCAGCGCAAGCGAAGCUCUUGAUCGAAGCCCCGGUAAACGGCGGCCGUAACUAUAACGGUCCUAAGGUAGCGAAAUUCCUUGUCGGGUAAGUUCCGACCUGCACGAAUGGCGUAAUGAUGGCCAGGCUGUCUCCACCCGAGACUCAGUGAAAUUGAACUCGCUGUGAAGAUGCAGUGUACCCGCGGCAAGACGGAAAGACCCCGUGAACCUUUACUAUAGCUUGACACUGAACAUUGAGCCUUGAUGUGUAGGAUAGGUGGGAGGCUUUGAAGUGUGGACGCCAGUCUGCAUGGAGCCGACCUUGAAAUACCACCCUUUAAUGUUUGAUGUUCUAACGUUGACCCCUAAUCGGGGUUGCGGACAGUGUCUGGUGGGUAGUUUGACUGGGGCGGUCUCCUCCUAAAGAGUAACGGAGGAGCACGAAGGUUGGCUAAUCCUGGUCGGACAUCAGGAGGUUAGUGCAAUGGCAUAAGCCAGCUUGACUGCGAGCGUGACGGCGCGAGCAGGUGCGAAAGCAGGUCAUAGUGAUCCGGUGGUUCUGAAUGGAAGGGCCAUCGCUCAACGGAUAAAAGGUACUCCGGGGAUAACAGGCUGAUACCGCCCAAGAGUUCAUAUCGACGGCGGUGUUUGGCACCUCGAUGUCGGCUCAUCACAUCCUGGGGCUGAAGUAGGUCCCAAGGGUAUGGCUGUUCGCCAUUUAAAGUGGUACGCGAGCUGGGUUUAGAACGUCGUGAGACAGUUCGGUCCCUAUCUGCCGUGGGCGCUGGAGAACUGAGGGGGGCUGCUCCUAGUACGAGAGGACCGGAGUGGACGCAUCACUGGUGUUCGGGUUGUCAUGCCAAUGGCACUGCCCGGUAGCUAAAUGCGGAAGAGAUAAGUGCUGAAAGCAUCUAAGCACGAAACUUGCCCCGAGAUGAGUUCU
rnacentral:rRNA from 1 species